rnacentral:tRNA from 1 species
UAUAGAAUAGUGUACCUUGCACAUAAGCCUUUGAAGCUUAAAGAAGAAUGCCCUCUUUCUAUAU